rnacentral:rRNA from 1 species
UACGAACCGUACAAACGUUAUUCGGAAUCACUGGGCUUAAAGGGUGCGUAGGCGGCCAUGUAAGUGGGGUGUGAAAUCCCUCGGCUCAACCGAGGAACUGCGCUCCAUACUGCAUGGCUUGAGGGAGACAGGGGUAAGCGGAACUGAUGGUGGAGCGGUGAAAUGCGUUGAUAUCAUCAGGAACACCGGUGGCGAAAGCGGCUUACUGGGUCUCUUCUGACGCUGAGGAACGAAAGCUAGGGUAGCGAACGGG